ACAUAGAGAGGCUGAAAAAUUUAUCAAUUUAAAAGCAAUCCAAAUACAAAAAAUCCAUCCAUAAUCCAAAUCAAACCAAAAAUACAAUACAGUCUAACACAAGAAAUUAAAAUUUAGUUUAAAAUUAAGAAUACAAUCUACACUGCAACUAUGUCACACAAAUCGCCGCAUUAUAUGUCUGGACACCGUCCAUCACCAUCCUAUAAAAAAGCAGAAUAGAACAUUAAAAUUAACAACAAUAAAGAGAGAGUAGAAAUCACAACAACAAAUACAAAUGCAUUAAACAGAAGAAGAGAAGCUCCUAGAAAAACAAGUCAAAAGCAGUCGAAUCAAACCAACGUUCAUGACCAAAGACAACAGUCCACCCUCUCAAAAGAUAAAUGAGUACCUGCAAAAUCAAAAACUUAAAAAAAAAAAAAAAAAAUACUAAAAUAACCAUCUCCGCUUCUCCAUGGCGAGGAAUAACUAUGGCGGACGGAGGCACUUUCUGUUUGAAAGCAGGAGAAGAACCACAAAUAAACUAAAGGAAAAUUAGGGAAAGAAGAAAGAAAGAAAAUAAGAAACCCCAAAUCGUCACAGAAAUAAUAAAAUGUGCUUCCUUUUCGCUUUCCUUUAGAAAAAAGGAUUUAACAAUUGACGAUUUA
rnacentral:lncRNA from 1 species